rnacentral:rRNA from 1 species
GAUGAACGCUAGCGGCAGGCCUAACACAUGCAAGUCGAACGGUAACAGGGAUUGCUUGCAAUCCGCUGACGAGUGGCGCACGGGUGCGUAACGCGUAUAGAACCUACCCUUUACAGGGGGAUAGCCCGGAGAAAUCCGGAUUAAUACCCCAUAGUAAUACUUCAGGGCAUCCUGAAGUUUUUAAAGUUUCGACGGUAAAGGAUGGCUAUGCGUCUUAUUAGCUAGUAGGCGAGGUAACGGCUCACCUAGGCAACGAUAAGUAGGGGCCCUGAGAGGGGGAUCCCCCACACUGGUACUGAGACACGGACCAGACUCCUACGGGAGGCAGCAGUGAGGAAUAUUGGACAAUGGUCGAGAGACUGAUCCAGCCAUGCCGCGUGCAGGAAGACGGCCCUACGGGUUGUAAACUGCUUUUUUACGGGAAGAAUAAUACCCACGUGUGGGUAGAUGACGGUACCGUACGAAUAAGGACCGGCUAACUCCG